rnacentral:rRNA from 1 species
GACGAAGGAUUCAAGCGUUGUCCGGAUUUACUGGGUUUAAAGGGUGCGUAGGCGGAACUCUAAGUCAGUGGUGAAAGCUCCCGGCUCAACCGGGAAAUUGCCAUUGAAACUGGUUUUCUUGAAUACAGUGGAGGUAGAUGGAAUAUAACAUGUAGCGGUGAAAUGCUUAGAUAUGUUAUAGAACACCGAUUGCGAAGGCAGUCUGCUACACUGUCAUUGACGCUGAGGCACGAAAGCGUGGGGAGCGAACAGG